GCGCCGGUGGUAUAAUAGCGUAGAGCAUAGCACCCGGUCAUCAAGAGGUGCGGGUUCGAGUCCCGCCCGGCGCU
rnacentral:tRNA from 1 species